CCCUUAGAUGUUCUGGGCCGCACGCGCGCUACACUGAUGCAUUCAACGAGUCUAAAACCUGCUCUGAUAGGGGUGGGUAAUCUUUUGAAUGUGCAUCGUGAUUGGGAUAGAUGAUUGCAAUUUUUCAUCUUCAACGAGGAAUGCCUAGUAAACACAAGUCAUCGGCUUGCAUUGAUUACGUCCCUGCCCUUUGUACACACCGCCCGUCGCUCCUACCGAUUGAAUGAUCCGAUGAAUAUCAUGGAUUGAGGAUUAUAGCAGGUUCGCCUGUCUUGAUCUUCGAGAAGUGAAGUAAAUCUUAUCAUUUAGAGGAAGGAGAAGUCGUAACA
rnacentral:rRNA from 1 species